rnacentral:tRNA from 1 species
GAGGCUCUAGUAAAAUCAUUACUUAACCCUGUCAGUGUUAAAUUACAGAUUAAACCCUGUGAACCUCC